GGAGUUUGAAGUGAGUUAUUCUGAUGGUAAAACGUUGAAGCUACCGAUUAAAUUUGAUGCUAAUGUGGUAGAAGGCAAUAGUUCGGCAUCGAUCUUGCCAAUGGCCACAUUACUGUGUCUUUCUUUCAGAGCUAACUCCCAGGCCAUGAUUGAUUCUUGGAGUGCCCCUUUUCUCAAUGCCUUUUCUAGUUCAAACAAUGUCCAGUUAUAUGAGGU
rnacentral:misc_RNA from 1 species